rnacentral:rRNA from 1 species
CUGGUUGAUCCCGCCGGACCUGACUGCUAUCGGAUUGAUACUAAGCCAUGCGAGUCUUUGCAGUAAUGCAAGGCGGACUGCUCAGUAACACGUAGUCAACUUAACCUAUGGAUGGGUAUAACCUCGGGAAACUGAGAAUAAUUCCCAAUAGAUCAUUUAUCCUGGAAUGGUUAGUGAUUGAAAUGAUUCGUCGCCAUAGGAUAGGACUGCGGCCUAUCAGCUUGUUGGUGAGGUAAAGGCCCACCAAGGCUAUUACAGGUACGGGCUCUGGGAGAAGAAGCCCGGAGAUGGGUACUGAGACACGGACCCAGGCCCUAUGGGGCGCAGCAGGCGAGAAAACUUUGCAAUGUGCGAAAGCACGACAAGGUUAAUCCGAGUGAUUUCUGCUAAAGAAAUCUUUUGCCAGUUCUAAAAAUACUGGUGAAUAAGGGGUGGGCAAGUUCUGGUGCCAGCAGCCGCAGUAAU